AGAGAGGAAGAGGAAAAUGCAGACUGGCCGAGGGAGGGGUCAGACACAAGGAAAAAUAGGAGCAGCCAAAUAUCCAUUCUGAAGCUGUAGGGGGAGCUCUAUAGAGCAACCUGCGAGAAAUGAGCAAAGAAAUG